UACGGAAGGCAGCAGUGGGGAAUAUUGCACAAUGGGCGCAAGCCUGAUGCAGCCAUGCCGCGUGUAUGAAGAAGGCCUUCGGGUUGUAAAGUACUUUCAGUCGUGAGGAAGGUGUUAAGGUUAAUAACCUUAGCAAUUGACGUUAGCGACAGAAGAAGCACCGGCUAACUCCGUGCCAGCAGCCGCGGUAAUACGGAGGGUGCGAGCGUUAAUCGGAAUUACUGGGCGUAAAGGGCACGCAGGCGGUUAAUUAAGUUGGAUGUGAAAUCCCCGGGCUUAACCUGGGAAUGGCAUUCAAGACUGGUUAGCUAGAGUCUUGUAGAGGGGGUAGAAUCCCAUGUGUAGCGGUGAAAUGCGUAGAGAUGUGGAGGAAUACCGGUGGCGAAGGCGGCCCCUGGACAAAGGCUGACGCUCAUGUGCGAAAGCGUGGGGAGCAAACAGGGAUUAGAUACC
rnacentral:rRNA from 1 species